AUUUGAAACACUCGUUCCCUUAUGAUCACCAAAGUUAAGCAACACUGAGUUUGGUCAGUACCUAGAUGGGUGACCAUUUGAGAAUACCAGGUGCUGUAAG